rnacentral:rRNA from 1 species
GACGAACCGUGCGAACGUUGUUCGGAAUCACUGGGCUUAAAGGGCGCGUAGGCGGCUUGCCAAGUCAGUGGUGAAAUCCUGCAGCUUAACUGUAGAAGUGCCUUUGAUACUGGCAAGCUAGAGCGAGGUAGGGGUCUGUGGAACUUCUGGUGGAGCGGUGGAAUGCGCAGAUAUCAGGAGGAACACCGAUGGCGAAGGCAGUUCUCUGGGCCGUAACUGACGCUGGGGAGCGAAAGCGUGGGGAGCGAACAGG